UGCAACAGUACCAAACCUCUGUCUAGAGGUCAAACAGCUGUCUGCGGGGCAAACAUCUGUCUACGGGUCAAACGGGGUAAACAUCUGUCUACGGGUCAAACGGCUGUCUACGGGUCAAACGGGGUAAACAUCUGUCUGCGGGUCAAACGUCUGUCUGCGGGUCAAACGGCUCUCUGCGGGUCAAACAGCUGUUUGCGGGUCAAACAGCUCUCUGCGGGUCAAACAGCUGUCUGUGGGUCAAACAGCUGUCUGCGGGUCAAACGGGGUAAACAUCUGUCUACGGGUCAAACGGCUGUCUGCGGGUCAAACGGCUGUCUGCGGGUCAAACGGCUAUCUGCGGGUCAAACGGCUCUCUGCGGGUCAAACAGCUGUCUGCGGGUCAAACAGCUCUCUGCGGGUCAAACAGCUGUCUGCGGGUCAAACAGCUGUCUGCUGGUCAAACAGUUGUCCACGUGUCAAACAGCUGUCUGCUGGUCAAACAGCUCUCUGCGGGUCAAACAGCUGUCUGCGGGUCAAACAUCUGUCUACGUGUCAAACAGUUGUCCACGUGUCAAACAUCUGUCUGCUGGUCAAACACCUGUCUGCGGGUCAAACAGCUGUCUGCUGGUCAAACAGUUGUCCAUGUGUCAAACAGCUGUCUGCUGGUCAAACAGCUCUCUGCGGGUCAAACAUCUGUCUGCUGGUCAAACAGCUGUCUGCGGGUCAAACAGCUGUCUGCUGGUCAAACAGUUGUCCACGUGUCAAACAGCUGUCUGCGGGUCAAACAGCUGUCUGCUGGUCAAACAGUUGUCCACGUGUCAAACAUCUGUCUGCUGGUCAAACAGCUGUCUGCGGGUCAAACAGCUGUCUGCUGGUCAAACAGUUGUCCACGUGUCAAACAGCUGUCUGCUGGUCAAACAGCUCUCUGCGGGUCAAACAUCUGUCUGCGUGUCAAACAGCUGGCCACGUGUCAAUCAUCUGUCUACGGGUCAAACAGCUGUCUGCAGGUCAAACAGCUGUCUGCGGGUCAAACAGCUGUCUGCGGGUCAAACAGCUGUCUGCGGGUCAAACAGCUGUCUGCGGGUCAAACAUCUGUCCACAGGUAAACAGCUGUUGUCUACAGGUCAAACGUAA
rnacentral:lncRNA from 1 species